CAGAACGAACGCUGGCGGCGUGCUUAACACAUGCAAGUCGAACGAGAGGGUGUGGGUGUAGCAAUACAGUCGCACCAGUAAAUUGGCGAACGGGUGAGUAACACGUAGAUAACGUACCUUCGAGCGGGGAAUAUCCCGGGGAAACCUGAGCUAAUCCCGCAUAAUAUUCGGAUGGCCCAUGUCAUUGGGAUCAAAGGCCAGCAAGGGUCUCUUGAGGAGGGGGCUGCGGCCGAUUAGAUAGUUGGUGGGGUAUCGUCCUACCAAGGGGAAGAUAGGUAGCCGGCUUGAGAGGGCGCACGGCCACAUUGGCAUUGACUCGCGGGCCAAGAUACUACGGGAGGC
rnacentral:rRNA from 1 species